AGAAGAAAACAAGAAACAGAGAUACAUACAGAUACAAAUAAAUAUGAGGAGGAAAAAAAGAAAGAAAGUUUGAUUUAGGAGCUUAGACAAAGAAGCAAACCUCUCAUACAAAGAUGUAAAAAGAAAAG